rnacentral:rRNA from 1 species
UACGGGAGGGGCAAGCGUUGUUCGGAAUUACUGGGCGUAAAGGGCUCGUAGGCGGCCAACUAAGUCAGACGUGAAAUCCCUCGGCUUAACCGGGGAACUGCAUCUGAUACUGGAUGGCUUGAGUUCGGGAGAGGGAUGCGGAAUUCCAGGUGUAGCGGUGAAAUGCGUAGAUAUCUGGAGGAACACCGGUGGCGAAGGCGGCAUCCUGGACCGACACUGACGCUGAGGAGCGAAAGCCAGGGGAGCAAACGGG